AUUGAACGCUGGCGGCAUGCCUUACACAUGCAAGUCGAACGGUAACAGGUCUUCGGAUGCUGACGAGUGGCGAACGGGUGAGUAAUACAUCGGAACGUGCCUAGUAGUGGGGGAUAACUACUCGAAAGAGUGGCUAAUCCCGCAUGAGAUCUACGGAUGAAAGCAGGGGGUCGCAAGACCUUGUGCUACUAACGCGGCCGAAGGCAGAUUAGGUAGUUGGUGGGAUAAAAGCUACCAAGCCGACGAUCUGUAGCUGGUCUGAGAGGACGAUCAGCCACACUGGGACUGAGAAACGGCCCAGACUCCUACGGGAGGCAGCAGUGGGGAAUUUUGGACAAUGGGCGCAAGCCUGAUCCAGCAAUGCCGCGUGCAGGAUGAAGGCCUUCGGGUUGUAAACUGCUUUUGUACGGAACGAAAAGCCCCGGGUUAAUACCCUGGGGUCAUGACGGUACCGUAAGAAUAAGCACCGGCUAACUACGUGCCAGCAGCCGCGGUAA
rnacentral:rRNA from 1 species